rnacentral:rRNA from 2 species
GAUCAGUGGCGAACGGGUGAGUAACACGUGGGCAACCUGCCCUCAGCUCUGGGAUAACUCCAAGAAAUUGGGGCUAAUACUGGAUAUGACCGCUGACCGCAUGGUCUGGUGGUGGAAAGAUUUAUCGGCUGGGGAUGGGCCCGCGGCCUAUCAGCUUGUUGGUGGGGUAGUGGCCUACCAAGGCGACGACGGGUAGCCGGCCUGAGAGGGUGACCGGCCACACUGGGACUGAGACACGGCCCAGACUCCUACGGGAGGCAGCAGUGGGGAAUAUUGCGCAAUGGGCGAAAGCCUGACGCAGCGACGCCGCGUGGGGGAUGACGGCCUUCGGGUUGUAAACCUCUUUCAGCAGGGACGAAGCGAAAGUGACGGUACCUGCAGAAGAAGCACCGGCCAACUACGUGCCAGCAGCCGCGGUAAUACGUAGGGUGCAAGCGUUGUCCGGAAUUAUUGGGCGUAAAGAGCUCGUAGGCGGUUUGUUGCGUCGGCUGUGAAAACCUGAGGCUCAACCUCAGGCCUGCAGUCGAUACGAGCAGACUAGAGUGUUGCAGGGGAGACUGGAAUUCCUGGUGUAGCGGUGAAAUGCGCAGAUAUCAGGAGGAACACCGGUGGCGAAGGCGGGUCUCUGGGCAACAACUGA